AAUCAUCUCAAUAUCUGAGUAAAAAUAUUUUUUUGUUUUACUACUUUGAGUUGAGCUUUCCUUUUUCUUUAUUGCUGAGAUAAGCCUUGGCCAGUCCUCCCUCACACACGGAAGACUGCAGUGAAGAGCCACUAUGGACUGAGUACCCCACUGCUGAACAGAAGAACUUACGGCCCUGAACCCAAAGAAUAGGUCUGGAUAUCGUGGCUCGUUAGCUGUCACUGUAUUAUUUGUCCAUGGAAUCUGAUCAGCUGUUCCUGGUUGUCCAAACUGGUUAUCAAUUGCUUCCAAUUCCAGCUCAGGUAAUCCUGAUUAAAGAAGCAAAGCCCACGAUAUCCGAUUUCACCGAUAUGCUGGUGGCACCAAUGACUGACUGGUCUGGACGGA